rnacentral:lncRNA from 1 species
GUUAAUCAGACUCAACUGGAGCUCAAAGAAACAUGGGAAUUUCUGGAGUGGGUGGCAAAGAUUCUCUCCAAAAAAAAGACAUGCAAAUGGUGAACAGAUAUGUGAAAAGGUGCUCAACAUCAUUGAUCAUCAAAGAAAUAUAUAUCAAAACUAUAAUAAGACCUCAUCUCACCCCAGUAAAAAUAUCUUUCAUUCAAAAGUCAGGCAAUAACAAAUGCUGAAAGAAUGUGGAGAAAAUGGAACCCUUGUACACUGUUGGUGGGAAUGU